UAGGGAAUCUUCGGCAAUGGACGAAAGUCUGACCGAGCAACGCCGCGUGAGUGAAGAAGGUUUUCGGAUCGUAAAACUCUGUUGUUAGAGAAGAACAAGGACGUUAGUAACUGAACGUCCCCUGACGGUAUCUAACCAGAAAGCCACGGCUAACUACGUGCCAGCAGCCGCGGUAAUACGUAGGUGGCAAGCGUUGUCCGGAUUUAUUGGGCGUAAAGCGAGCGCAGGCGGUUUCUUAAGUCUGAUGUGAAAGCCCCCGGCUCAACCGGGGAGGGUAAUUAGAAACUGGGAGACUUGAGUGCAGAAGAGGAGAGUGGAAUUCCAUGUGUAGAGGUGAAAUGCGUAGAUAUAUGGAGGAACACCAGUGGCGAAGGCGGCUCUCUGGUCUGUAACUGACGCUGAGGCUCGAAAGCGUGGGGAGCAAACAGG
rnacentral:rRNA from 1 species